CUAAGUUUGAUGGCGACCGGCGCACGGGUGAGUAACACGUAUCCAACCUGCCGAUGACUCGGGGAUAGCCUUUCGAAAGAAAGAUUAAUACCCGGUGGCAUAGUUCUUCCGCAUGGUAGAACUAUUAAAGGAUUUCGGUCAUCGAUGGGGAUGCGUUCCAUUAGGUUGUUGGCGGGGUAACGGCCCACCAAGCCUUCGAUGGAUAGGGGUUCUGAGAGGAAGGUCCCCCACAUUGGAACUGAGACACGGUCCAAACUCCUACGGGAGGCAGCAUG
rnacentral:rRNA from 1 species